CACAAGCGGUGGAGCAUGUGGUUAAUUCGACGCAACGCGAAGAACCUUACCUGGGCUUGACAUGUUAGUGGUAGGAAACUGAAAGGGGACCGACCUGUAGCAAUACAGGAGCUAAUACAGGUGCUGCAUGGCUGUCGUCAGCUCGUGCCGUGAGGUGUUGGGUUAAGUCCCGCAACGAGCGCAACCCUUAUCCUAUGUUACCUCGCAAGAGGGUCUCUUAGGAAACUGCCGGCGAUGAGCUGGAGGAAGGUGGGGACGACGUCAAGUCAUCAUGGCCCUUAUGUCCAGGGCUACACACGUGCUACAAUGGCUACUACAGAGGGAAGCAAGACCGCGAGGUGGAGCCAAUCCCUAAAAGUAGUCGUAGUUGGGAUCGGAGUCUGCAACUCGACUCCGUGAACCUGGAAUCGCUAGUAAUCGCGGAUCAGAACGCCGCGGUCGAAUACGUUCCCGGGCCUU
rnacentral:rRNA from 1 species